rnacentral:rRNA from 1 species
AGUGAACGCUGGCGGUAGGCCUAACACAUGCAAGUCGAACGGCAGCACAGUAAGAGCUUGCUCUUACGGGUGGCGAGUGGCGGACGGGUGAGGAAUACAUCGGAAUCUACUUUUUCGUGGGGGAUAACGUAGGGAAACUUACGCUAAUACCGCAUACGACCUACGGGUGAAAGCAGGGGAUCUUCGGACCUUGCGCGAUUGAAUGAGCCAAUGUCGGAUUAGCUAGUUGGCGGGGUAAAGGCCCACCAAGGCGACGAUCCGUAGCUGGUCUGAGAGGAUGAUCAGCCACACUGGAACUGAGACACGGUCCAGACUCCUACGGGAGGCAGCAGUGGGGAAUAUCGGACAAUGGGCGCAAGCCUGAUCCAGCCAUACCGCGUGGGUGAAGAAGGCCUUCGGGUUGUAAAGCCCUUUUGUUGGGAAAGAAAAGCAGCAGGUUAAUACCCCGCUGUUCUGACGGUACCCAAAGAAUAAGCACCGGCUAACUUCGUG